CAGCCGCCACGGGAAUACGUAGGUGGCAAGCGUUGUCCGGAAUUAUUGGGCGUAAAGGGCUCGCAGGCGGUUUCUUAAGUCUGAUGUGAAAGCCCCCGGCUCAACCGGGGAGGGUCAUUGGAGACUGGGAAACUUGAGUGCAGAAGAGGAGAGUGGAAUUCCACGUGUAGCGGUGAAAUGCGUAGAGAUGUGGAGGAACACCAGUGGCGAAGGCGACUCUCUGGUCUGUAACUGACGCUGAGGAGCGAAAGCGUGGGGAGCGAACAGGAUUAGAUACCCCCGUAGUCCCUGUCUCUUAUAU
rnacentral:rRNA from 1 species